UCCAACACACUCAUCGUCCAUUUACGUUUAUUAUCGUGUCUGAGUCGGCGCGUGGGUGUCUGUGUGUGAGGGUUUGUGUUUCGCUGAGGGGAACGAUGAGGGGGUGGGCGUCCUGCCGCAGGGAGCGCGGCUGAGCCGGUGGAAUCAGCGAGCGCGCCUCCGUCGAAUCUCCGCUUCCGACCGUCACACCCACCGCUCGGUGUCGUGGGCUCACCUCGCUGAAAGGGGGAGGACCAACUGCUCCGCGGCUACGAGUGCUGCAGUGCGAGCGCAGCGGGGGACUCGAAGACAGAAAACACACACACAUAAACACACAUCUGCUGCUUUAUUUCCAAAAAUUGGUCCAUGGAGAGAUCCGCAGAAGCGCCAUAGCGACGCAGGCCGACAUGGAAGAGUAUUUGCGGAGGGUCCAGAGCAGACUCGGGGCAGGUCCACCUGAAGGCCCCUUCCAUGCUGUUUUAGGUGGACCAGAGCCUGAUGUUGACACUGUGGCUGCAACACUGUGCUUAGCACUCCAUCUCAGUCAGGAGUCAUCAGGAGGAGUGUGUGUGCCAGUGCUGUGCAGAAAGCGAUGCGUCGUGCUACCUGAAGAGACCGUGAGGUAUCUACAGACGAUAAAACUUGAUGAGAGUUUGUUGCUCUGGAAGGAGGAUCUAGACCUUGUGAAGCUUCAUCAGUCUGGAAAGCUGUUGCUCACACUGCUGAGAGAUGGACUGCUUGAAAGCUCUGAACAUCACACUUUAGAGUCCAGCAUCCUGCAAGUGGUCCAUCAUGACGUGCAGCGGAACGAGGCGGAUGGCAGGACACUGUCCGUGUUGGCAAUGGUCGCCAGAGAGAUUCUUCAAGAGGCAGCAGAGCAGAGAAGAACAACGCUGGGGGAGGCUCUGGGAGAGGCCUUACGACUGCAAAGAGAAGCAUUGUGGCUCAAACAUGGCUGUCAGUCAGAGGAGCUGGAGGAGCUCAUGAGAUCCUUGGAGCAGUGGGCCGAUGGCGAGUCGACAGAAGUGAGGCAACAAGACUUAAUGCAGCUGCUGCCGAUGGAGCUGAAGGAGUUUUCGGAUGGAGAGACGACGAUAGCGCUCGCCUCACUGACCGCAGAAAAGAAGGACUGGCAGGAUUAUAUGAAUGGAUUGAAAUCUUUUUGUCAUCACCACGGUUACGAGGGGCUUGUAGUUCUGUCUGUCAGUGAUGAAGUUCAUCAUCCCCACCAGCAGGUGGCAGUCUACUCAAACAACACAGACAUGUUAAACCAGAUUUGUGCAGCGUUGGAGGAGUCCUCCAGUUGGCCCCUAUCUGGUGAACGGCAAGAUGCAGAGAGUGUCCAAGUCUACCACAUUCCAAUAAACACGUUUGCACCCUCUGGUACUCCUCCUCUGCUAGAAGAAGACAUCCAGGAACUCCUCAAAAGCUUUGUUGACCGGAGGAGGUCGGUUUUAGCCUGCCACCCCAGCAGCAGGACCUCUUCCACAGAGGGAGUAGCGGGCAGUGUGGAGUUCUCCCAGGGGUCGUCUGGCAUCAAUGACAUGGAUGGGUCUGACAUGGAGAGAGCCGAGGGAAUCAAUGAAAAUGAAGUGGCAGUAGCGAGGGUGAUGGCAGAUCGUGAAGACACAGGAGCAGUCGGUGCUGGGGAGCUGUUGAGCCCAGACAGCGGUAUGACCACCAUUCGCAGCAGUCGUUCCUCCAAAGAGAGCUCUGUGUUCCUGAGUGAUGAUAGCCCAAUUGGGGAGAUCAUGGCGAGUGGAGGUCUAGCAGCAGGACCAGGAGGACUAAGAAACCCCUCCCCCUUAGGGUUUUCAUCUCUAUCUCCCCCUGUCCCGCCUGAGAGGAGGAAGCAUCGCUCAAGUAGAAAUAAAAGUGAUAAUUUUAAUUUGUUUAGCUUUGACCCCCUCCAUAGCAUUGACCAGCCUCUGCCAGCAGGAGGGGAACUGUUGAGUUCUUUAGGAGGAGGAGAUGAAGGUGAUAGAAGAGCUGGAAGCUCGAGCUUAUCUGAACUUGAAGAGCUAAGCUUGAUAGAUUUCUCUGCUCCUAACUCAUCCAGAGGGCUUGGAAGUGGGAAUUCUUCAGUUGAUCACCAAGGCCAGAUCCACGGAAAUGAGAUGAUGGAGACAAUGGUUCCCCCAACUCCUGUGAAUAGCCUGGUAGGUAGCCGCCCACCCAGCAGUUGUGGCGUCAGGUUCUUCCCAGAAGAUGUAAUUGAAAGGAUCAGCAGCCUGCAGCACAAAGACAGCGUGUCAUCAUCCUUGUCAGAGACCUGGGAUGAACUUAAUUUUGAUUCCCAAGGGGCAUUGUCCCCUAGAGAUGGUGCUUUAGGCAGGCCCAAAAGCUCAGAGAGUAUUCAGAAGGUUGAAGAUGAAGUUAGUGUGAAAGACUCUGAUGUGGCUGAGAAAAAUGACACAGAGAAGAUGGUUGAAGCAGAAAUGGUCCAACAAAGAACAAAGACUUUUGAACCUCAACUUAGUUUUGUUAAAGAACAGACAGAAACAUUUGAAAACUGGAGCCCAGACAUUUUAUUUAAGGAUCAGUGGAACUCUGUUUCUAUAUCUGAUCUCCAGUUAACACCACCAGACGAGGAAGUGAUUGUACAAAGCAAAAAAGAAAAAGACAGAUCCCCCUUUUUGAGAAAAAAGAAAACUAUCCUAAACACGCUGACACCAGACACAUCUAAAGAAGAGGACGAAUGUGUCCAAAGUAAAAAGAGAGACCAGCAUUUGGAGCUGUUGGACUUUUGGACGUACUCGGAACAGAAGGGGUUUCUUAAAUCGGACAGUGGAACCACCACUUCUUACCCGGAAUCACUAGAUAUGUGGAACACGACGAUUCGGGAUGACAGUCUGUCACCGCUGACUACCCCUGACAACUUGUCUGAAAACUCUGGUUCGAUCUGUGGACUGAAUCGCAAUCUAAGGAGAGACACAUCUGUAGAAAGUCCUCAAGGAUACUCUGCCGGUGGAAUGGAAAUGUGGAACACCACCAUCCAAGAAGACAGCUCUUCCAUAAUGACGACCCCUGAAGGACCUGAAAAUGAUGAAGACCUCAAAUGUGUAGGAUCGCUAGAUUAUUCUGUUGAGACAAAAACUAGCAAACGGACAGAAAAAGACGAGGACUCUGAAGACGAUGGUGUCUGUAAAGCACAUGACCAGACACGCGAAGAUGCUGAGUGGAGUGGUAACGAGCACAACGUGAAAAUAGUCAUAGAGACGGCAGACGGUGGAACACAGGAGGAAGAAACGGACAUUGGAGACAUGCAGGGAGCUCAGAGCCCAUGUCCUGAGAUGUUCCCUCUCCAUGGCAUGGUCAUGUCCACCUCCGAAUAUGACAACAUAGGAGCUGGAUCGUGGAGCCAAACACCUUCCCCUGACACCUGUCUGAGCCCAGCAGUAGAUGUGAUACAGCUGGAGGAGCAGUCUAGCCCUUUUGUAACUGUAGACAAGCCUAUCCUUGGUGAUGAAAGACCGAAUCAGGGCCAGAAUGGGUCAGAUGCUGAGCAAACAGUAAACGAAGUCUUCAUAUUUGAUAGAGACUUUGUCCACCUGACAAGGAGUGAGGAAAGUCCACUUGAGAGCGAGUAUGAAAACACAAGAUUGGACAAAUUGGAGGAAGAUGAUUGGAUGGAGCAAUCCAGUGAUCAUUCUCCAUUUGUUCUGGUCGACACGUCUAAAGUCACUCAGCAGGUUUCAGAAAGUCCAGGAGAAUCUACUGAAAUCCAAAUCCAGGAACACCAAAGCUGUAUAGACUGGGACAGUUUAUUAUCAAAGACGCAUUAUGACUCAGAAUCCGCUCAAUCGCUGUAUCUACCCCUCAAAAUCACUCACAAUGAAGAUGAGCAUGCCAUUGAAAGCCAUAAUUUGAACCCCCAAAAAAGCAAGGACAAUGUAGAAGGGCAAAGAUCUUUAAACUCUUUCUCGGGUGAAGAAAGAGAGACACUGAACAGCCUUCACACUAGUGGUCACAAUAAUCCUGAGACUAACUCUGAUGAAAAUUCAUUCUCUGGUUUAGAAAUGGAAAACAUUGUUGUAUCUGGCAUAGUCAAAGAAGCUAGCAGAGAGUGGUCUGGUAGGCCCACCCAGGAAAGCAAAAUAUCCAAAGGAAUAAGAAAACCUAUGGAGACUUUAAGCAUGCUGACGUACGCUGCCACAGUUUUGAAAAGUCAUGCACAAGCUACGCAAAAGGAUCACCUGGAGAACUUAAAUCAGGCUGGUUCGCAACAGAUCAUGGGAACCGACACUGAAUCAGACGUUGCAGCCAUUAGCCCUCACUACCAGUCCAGCCAUGACAUGAACUUGAAGCAAGAAGUGGGUCCAGAAAUGACCAGCCCUAGCCAAUCGAAAGCCAACUCUGAAGCUUUUCAUCCAUCCGACGGUCGAUCACCUGAUGAAGAAAAUAAUAAAUGUGAGUCGAGCACUUUGCCCCGAAGUGUGUCGCCCUCAUUAAGGUAUCCAUCAGAUCACUUCCUGAAAACUAGAGAGGAAGUUUAUGUCCAUUCACAGAUCUCAAUGGAAGACUCUGAUGAAGGUGGGUUGUCACCCUCUGCACCUCCACCCAGCGCUACGUCCUUGGGCGAAUUUCAUGUCUGGGGGGGUCAGGUAGUAAAACGGGACAUAUCUGGAACAGAGUCUCCUGUACUUACCAAUAGUUCAGUCUCUCACAGCAGCUCUCUGAUCAGCUCCCCAGUAAAUGAUUUAAGCUCUUCUGCUGAAAAAGGACUCGGUUUACCUUUUUCUGGAGAUUUAAUGGAAGAGGAGCAUGAUGAGGAUGCAGAUGUGGACAACACAUCGCUUCCGAAACUGACUCCAGGAGAACAAAGAGAAAGAAAAGAAAGGCAUGUGUUUGAAACUUCUGACCUGUUGAGUUUUACUGAAGAUCUGAUUGGAGUUUCCUCAUAUCAACAAACAUUUGAGUCGAACAACGACAGGUUUGAGGACUACUAUGACCCACAACCUGUAAGGACAGAUGAUCAUGAACAAUGGUCAAUUGGGCAGCUAACUGGAGGUCACAAAGCUUCUCAAGAUAUCUAUUCACCUGUUUCAAGACCCCAAGAUGUGACAUCUCAACUCUCAUCUCGUCCAACCAGCGAGAAUGCUGCCUACCAGUCGACAGGAAGUCAGAACACAACUCAGGGUCAAACCAAAUAUGGCUACAACUUCCAUCACAUCGACCAAAGAACUGAGAACCAGAGUGCUUGCAGAGCCUGCACAGAUGCCAAAUUAGAAAGUCAGCAGGAUGCCACAGAAGUCUACGCUGAGUUCACAACUGAUUCUUCAGCUAAGAACUUCAGAUCUGAGCAGAGUGAGAACCGUUUUGACGUUGGAGGGAACACCCCUUACUGCCUGGGCGAUGCACGUUUAAAGUGUCAGUAUGUAUCUGAAAGCUCCUACGUGGACGGCUCCAUGUGCUCGGCUGAUCUCCAGUACUCCCAGCAUCAAGUGGGUGCACAAAGUGAAUAUGAUUCAGACCGUAUUCACCAUCAGAAUGAAGGAGAACCAUACCACCAAUCAGAAGCCCACUGCGACACAAAAGACCAUGCACAGUAUGUGCCAGAGGGAUAUGUUCACGUUCUCCUGAACAGGAGCUCCCAGCAGGGUGCUGGUGCAGCAGAGGUGAUGAUGACGAUGGCCUCUAGUGAGGAAGCCGCUGAGCCGGAUAACAGAGAAGACCCACCCUCUUCAGCAGAUACGUCUGCUGGAUCUAAUCAAAGAAGAAAGCUGGCCGCUCCACCCAUGAAUGUGUCACUGGAGCACAGCGAAGGCUCCCUUAUUUCAGAGGAUGCCCUGGACACGGAGGAUGAUGCCUUGGACACUGGGGAUGACCUCGACAUUAGUGUUGAUGAGAUUGACACACCUGAUGAGUCUGACUCUCUGGAGUUUCAUGUGCAAGUGGAAUCAGAAGACCAGGAUGCAGGAGCAGCCUCGGGUGGUGCUGCAGCAGGUCAUCUAGAAGAAGAAGAAGAAGAAAGAGGAGACACAAGACUAUGGAGGAGCGUGGUGAUUGGAGAGCAGGAGCAUCGAAUCGAUAUGAAAUGCAUCGAGCCAUACAGAAAAGUCAUUUCCCAUGGAGGCUAUUAUGCCGAAAGGAAUGCCAUCAUUGUGUUUGCAGCAUGUUUCCUGCCGGACAGUGACUGUGAGAAUUAUAACUAUGUCAUGGAAAACCUUUUUCUGUAUGUAAUUAGUACGUUGGAACUGAUGGUGGCAGAGGAUUACAUGAUCGUGUACCUGAAUGGCGCCACUCCUCGCAGGAGGAUGCCUGGUUUUACCUGGAUGAAGAGAUGCUACCAGAUGAUUGAUAGAAGACUAAAGAAAAACCUGAAGAUGUUCUUCAUUGUUCAUCCUUCCUGGUUUGUUCGGACUUUGCUGGGAAUCACCAGGCCCUUUAUCAGCUCCAAAUUCAGCAGUAAGAUCAAGUAUGUGAACAGCCUGAGGGAGCUUGGAGAGUUAAUUCCUAUGGAGUACGUCCACAUUCCACCCAGCAUCAUAAAGUAUGACAAAAAGAGGGGUUUAUAAAAGUUUACAUGCAUGAGACUGGAUAUAGAAUUGCAGAACACAUCAGCUAAAGUGGAUAAGGGGAGUUCUUCCUUUUAAGAAGAGGAAACACCUGGAUGCUGCCUAUUUUCUCCCUGUAUUUUGCUGCACACUCCCACAGCAUGUCUGAACAUGAAAGCUGACAGCAUGAUGCUUAUGGUAACAUGGUUGUUACGAAGCAACUAGAAGUAAAACGGAAAUGAAGAUGCUGCAUCUGAGGGUACUUAAAAACAUAGUUCAGUAAUUUUGUAUUUGAAUUGCAGAGACGGUCACUGUGCUGAAGGGAAGACAUUCUGUACUGUUUAAAAGUUAUACUCCCACAUUUAUUUAUAUUUAUCAGGUAGUUUUUGUUCACUUUGUUCAUGAAAUUCUAUACAUUUAGUAUUUUCCAUUUUCCAGUUAUACUGCCUUACUAUGUUUAUGUAUUAAUAUUUAUUAAUAUUUAUCAAUGUGCAUUUUCUAAAGUGACACUUAAAAUUAUUACUAAUACACUCAAAAGUUGUUACAUCUCAUCGGCUUGCACAAAGAUUAAAUUCUUCCUGGGUAAUGGAGAUGUUGUGCUUUAGUAAAAUACUUAGAAUAUGUUAGUAUAAAGUUAUGAAGCUCUGUUUAGGCUGAAAUCUGAGUUGACCAAAUGACAAAACAUAUGAUUCCAUUAAAAUAUUGUUUUCUAAUGGGCAAAGCCACAGAUGUUUACUAGCAUGAUACUGAAAGUACAUAUUAGUUUAUCAAGAUGAAACUGGUUCCUGUUAAUGGGAGUUUUAUUUUUGUUGUGUUAUGUAACUCAGCACUAUAUUUGAUCAUGCUGUUCUGGUGUCACCAUGAAGUUAUUCCAACUUCAAAUGAAGUAGCAAAAACAUUUAAAAAGUCCUCUAUAUUUGAGUAAAUAUUUAAAAAUGAGUAUAAAUUCAUCCUGUUCAGCUUUCCAAAGGUGUUGCAUGUUUUCAGCAUUUACAGUUAAACACAUUCUUUUAAUCAGACCAACCAGAAAGAAACGUUAUGAUGAGUGAGUGCACGCGUGCAAGUACAUACACAAAGGUGAAGAUGAAGAUGGGGAUUACUUGAGUGAAAUACUUUAUUAAGAAAAAGUUGGAUGAGCCAUGUCUGUUUGUCAUUUUUGUACAUGACUUGAAUUAAUUUGUUGGAAAAUACAUACAUUUGUUUACAUCAUUAAAUGUCUCUUCCUCUCA